GACGAACGCUGGCGGCGUGCUUAACACAUGCAAGUCGAACGGAAAGGCCCUGCUUUCGUGGGGUGCUAGAGUGGAGAACGGGAGUGUCACACGUGAGUAACCUGCCCUUGACUUUGGGAUAACUUCGGGAAACGGGGGCUAAUACCGGAUAGGAGCUCCUGCGGCAGGGUGGGGGUUGGAAAGUUUCGGCGGUUGGGGAUGGACUCGCGGCUUAUCAGCUGGUUGGUGGGGUAGUGGCUUACCAAGGCGUUGACGGUUAGCCGGCCUGGGGGGGGGACCGGCAAAAUGGGGACUGGGUUACGGCCCGGACUCCUCCGGGGGCAAGCGGUGGGAAAAAUUGAACAAGGGGGGGAGCCUGAUGGCAGGAACGCCGCGUGGGGAUGAACGGCCUUCGGUUUGUAAACCGCUUUCGCCUGUAACGAAGCGUUUGUGACGGUAAUGAGAAAAGAAGCACCGGCUAACUACGUG
rnacentral:rRNA from 1 species